CUCCAUACAUAAACCCGGCCGUCGUUAGUAGGAAACAAUGUGAACGAUGAUUCAUCGGACCAUACUACAUUUUUCUAAUCAUCAAGUGUCCAGGUUUUAUGAGGCACCACUUCUUUCGCAGCGUUGGCUUCCGUUAUAAGGGGUUUUGCAAUUGCAGCCCUUCCAUGAAUGUUAGCUUUGUGGAGUUCCCGCCGUACUGUUUUUGUCGAAACAGUAUUACUCAGUUAACUUUGGAUUUCGUCCACUAUUCCUCUUCGCCGAUGAUGUUUUACCAUGUUUUGUGUAUGCUGUCAUUACUGUGGAUACUGUCGCUCGUGAGACGUUAAACAGUUCAGCUGUUUUCGUCACAGACGCUCCCGCUAACCGAGCACCAACGAUUUGCCCUCUUUCGAAGUCUGAGAGAUCACGCAUUUCACCGUCGCAGAACAAAGCGUAUAAUACACUGAAAUAUAAUCUACAAGACUUGCCACGUAAACUGUGCAUUACAUACGCAUCGAAUUAUUUACACGGAAAGCAGUGUUGUCACAUGCAACAAACUAUACUAUAUUGCAUGGUGUUCAUAUUAUUUUGUCUAACCCUGUAUAUAUAUAUAUAUAUGUAUGUUUAAAAAAUGUGUGUGUUUAUAAAAUAUCUCCUUUAUAAGUAUAUCUCCUAUUUUUUAUAUAUACGAUAAAUUUGCAAUGCCAUUUUUCUCAUUCUACAACUACAUAUGAUUCUCUUUCUAAAAAUAAUUAAUAAAAAUUAAAUGUUACUUA